AGGACAUCCUGGCUGGCUGCUGGUUGUCUCUGUUCUCUGCAAACCCCUUAGCCUCAAAUUCUUGCUUAUUUUGGUAAACUUGAAGAGACCAAAUACCAAACCUUGCUGCAACAGUGACUGGAACUUAUCAGGGCCGAACUCUGCAAGAAUAUGAAAUUAUGAAGAUUACUAUGACAGAAGAUAGCACCAAUUCACGCUGAAGUGAAGAAGUGGAGUACUCUACAUAUGCCAUAAGUUCAGUCAUCCAGCUGUGAUCUUCCCUGUACCUGAGCAAUGUCUCAACAAAAUCCCAUGUGUGCGUCUGUGUAUGUAAAUGUAUAUAUAUGGACAGAUUUGUACCAACUCUGCAUUGUUACACUUGACUUACUCUUUUUUUUAAUUAUGUAAAAAAAUCACAUUAAGCUGAAUCUAAUUACUGCAAUGUAUAUUAGAAGCAGGGCACCAUCAAAAUUUUAUUUAAAUUAAUCAGGUUUUGAUUUAAGAUAUUAAAUUCAAAUUAAUCAUGUAAAAAUGGAAAUGAUCCUUGACGUGCUUCCAGCUGUGACUUCAGUCUGUUUUCUCGUGUGAGUCACUUUCGGGAUGUCUUGGGGGGAACAUUACGAAAAUUCACGCCGGUGCUAUUUCAAUUAGAGUUAUUUAGCAGGACAGAUGUAAAGAAUACGGUAUAAUUAAGAAGGAGCUGAUGACACGGCUACAGAUUUUCAGGAUCAAAAAAAACCUGUUAGAGAAAAUUGACUACUGGUCAUGUAGUCCAAGUUCAAAUAUGCUGGGGUUAAGCACUCAUUAAUGAUGGAAUGAGGUCUUUAGAUAGACCAUUGGACUCUUUCUCCGGAGCAAUAUGCAGAAUUCUUCCCUGGAAAUAACUUUGAAGCUUCAUUAGCAAGCAGAUGAUACCUGAUAACAUAAUUUUAAAAUUCUUAAAAUAAUUUUCCACCCCCUAGUGUCUAAUCUUUAGCUGGCUAGCUAACUUCAAAGGCCUUUAGGAAAACAUGUGAGAGACAUAAAUGACCAGGUAAGAGCGCAUAUACACA